GCCCAGCCCUCUUAGCUAACUUCUAGAACUAGAAGAGGCUGUCCACAGGAAGUUCCACCAGCAGCUUUAGCUCAAGCUCCAGCAACACAUCAAAGGGCCACGUCAUGUUUCACUUACAAUGCAGGGUGUCAUCUUUGACCUACAUGUGACUGCACCAGUGUUAUUUCCCACUCUGGGCCCACAUAUCAGCAGCCCUGACACUGCCUGGGUUCCCAUCAUGUCACUGUCUGGCUGCAGUGGACCUCGUCCCUGGGUCAACUCUUGUCUUGUUUACCUGGCUAAUUGUCUUGGUGCUCUCCCUUCGGCCCUUUCACAGAAGUCUCUCCCCUAGUCCUUCUGGCCUGUUUGCCUGCUCUGCCUUUCCCCUUUUCUCUUCUGUUGGGACCUGGAGAUCUUCUGACAGAGCCCUGUGAGCUGAGCAGCUCCAGCAGUUGGAUCUCCAUGAAUUACCAAGGGAUGUAAAGACUUAGAAGAGAGUUACAAGAGGAAAUGUAAAACCAUCCAUUUUUACCAAAAUUAAAUGUGCAAAAGGCUACAUA
rnacentral:lncRNA from 1 species